AUAUACUCCCUCCGUCCCAAGAAAGUUGGCCACAUUCUUUUCGGCACGGAGAUUAAGAAAUGGAGUGUUAUGUUUUAAUUGAGUGGGGCCCAUCAAAAUUAAUGAGUUAAUUAAAGAUACUUCUUCAUCCUUUUACUCUCUUCAUCCUGCCCACCGGCCACCUCUCAUCCACCGCUCUCUCCUCCGGCGAAGUCGCUGCCAUCAAUCACUGUAAAGAGUCCCCCAUCUUCCGACCUGAAACCCAGCUCCAAGUCCAACUAAAAAAAAAUGACACCAAAUCUUGCCCAAGUCUAUCUCCUCCAAUCAGGUUCAAAAUCCAGAAAAAAUUAUCCAAUCAACCAAGGAAAAUCAAGCCUCCUGUUAUCUGAUUUGAGAAAUCAACCAACAAAUGGUGAAAAAAAAAAGGGUCGCACUCUUGCCGGAAUUUACAUAGACCAAGAAAUGAAGCAAAAAAGAAUUCACAUAGACCAAGGAAGGCGGCGCGACUCUUGCCGGAAUUACAGAGACCAGGAAGGCGGCGCAACUUCAAAAUUACAAAGGGUCGCCGCCACCGCUGCCUGAAAUCGGCGGACCCAGGCUUCGAUUUUCAGCCGCUCGCCCAAAUCGCAGCGAAAUCUCCUCAAUCUCCAAACUCGAAGGAAGCGGCGCUGCUUGGAGAGGCAAAUCGGCGGCGGCGGCAAAGCCCUAGCCCCAAAUCGCAGAUGCAGCCGACUGGAGAGGCGGAGCGGCGCAUAUCUGUGUUCUGGGGAGGAAGAGGACGAGGGAGAAGGGAAUCAGAGGGCGGGGCGGCGGUCGACGGCCGACGUUGUUGCUGGAGAAGAAGAGAGAAGGGAGGGAGAGGCUGUGUUGGGGUUGGGGUUGUCGGGAGGGGGGGAGGAAGAUCACGAGAUCUGUAACGAGAGAAAGAGGGAGAGGCAGAGGUGAGUGAGAGGGUUUCAGGAGCCGGGGCGGCGGUCGGCGCUGCCGUUGUCCGCCGGAGAAGAAGAGAGAAGGGGAAGGGCGGCGAACCAUGUUUGUGUGUGUCUGUGUGUGUAACGAGAGAGAAAGAGAUGGAGAGAGAGCAGAGGCGUGUGUGUAUGUAGGUUUAAUUAGAAAAUUUAAUUUGGUGUAGAUUAGUUGAUUAAUUAUAGAGUUUAAUUUGGUGUAAUUUUUACCCAAAAAGGAAAGUAGCCAACUUUAGUGGGACGCCCAAAAAGGAAAUGUGGC
rnacentral:lncRNA from 1 species